rnacentral:rRNA from 1 species
URUGAGUUUGAUCMUGGCUCAGGACGAACGCUGGCGGCGUGCUUAACACAUGCAAGUCGAACGAUGAUGCCCAGCUUGCUGGGUGGAUUAGUGGCGAACGGGUGAGUAACACGUGAGUAACCUGCCCCUGACUCUGGGAUAAGCGUUGGAAACGACGUCUAAUACUGGAUAUGAUCACUGGCCGCAUGGUCUGGUGGUGGAAAGAUUUUUUGGUUGGGGAUGGACUCGCGGCCUAUCAGCUUGUUGGUGAGGUAAUGGCUCACCAAGGCGACGACGGGUAGCCGGCCUGAGAGGGUGACCGGCCACACUGGGACUGAGACACGGCCCAGACUCCUACGGGAGGCAGCAGUGGGGAAUAUUGCACAAUGGGCGAAAGCCUGAUGCAGCAACGCCGCGUGAGGGAUGACGGCCUUCGGGUUGUAAACCUCUUUUAGUAGGGAAGAAGCGAAAGUGACGGUACCUGCAGAAAAAGCACCGGCUAACUACGUGCCAGCAGCCGCGGUAAUACGUAGGGUGCAAGCGUUGUCCGGAAUUAUUGGGCGUAAAGAGCUCGUAGGCGGUUUGUCGCGUCUGCUGUGAAAUCCCGAGGCUCAACCUCGGGCUUGCAGUGGGUACGGGCAGACUAGAGUGCGGUAGGGGAGAUUGGAAUUCCUGGUGUAGCGGUGGAAUGCGCAGAUAUCAGGAGGAACACCGAUGGCGAAGGCAGAUCUCUGGGCCGUAACUGACGCUGAGGAGCGAAAGCAUGGGGAGCGAACAGGAUUAGAUACCCUGGUAGUCCAUGCCGUAAACGUUGGGCGCUAGAUGUAGGGACCUUUCCACGGUUUCUGUGUCGUAGCUAACGCAUUAAGCGCCCCGCCUGGGGAGUACGGCCGCAAGGCUAAAACUCAAAGGAAUUGACGGGGGCCCGCACAAGCGGCGGAGCAUGCGGAUUAAUUCGAUGCAACGCGAAGAACCUUACCAAGGCUUGACAUACACCGGAAACGGCCAGAGAUGGUCGCCCCCUUGUGGUCGGUGUACAGGUGGUGCAUGGUUGUCGUCAGCUCGUGUCGUGAGAUGUUGGGUUAAGUCCCGCAACGAGCGCAACCCUCGUUCUAUGUUGCCAGCGGGUUAUGCCGGGGACUCAUAGGAGACUGCCGGGGUCAACUCGGAGGAAGGUGGGGAUGACGUCAAAUCAUCAUGCCCCUUAUGUCUUGGGCUUCACGCAUGCUACAAUGGCCGGUACMAASGGCUGCGAUACCGUAAGGUGGAGCGAAUCCCAAAAAGCCGGUCUCAGUUCGGAUUGAGGUCUGCAACUCGACCUCAUGAAGUCGGAGUCGCUAGUAAUCGCAGAUCAGCAACG